rnacentral:rRNA from 1 species
CCUACGGGAGGCAGCAGUGAGGAAUAUUGGUCAAUGGGCGGGAGCCUGAACCAGCCAAGUCGCGUGAAGGAAGAAGGUACUUAGUAUUGUAAACUUCUUUUGUCGGGGAACAAAGGCGGAGACGCGUCUCCGGAUGAGUGUACCCGAAGAAAAAGCAUCGGCUAACUCCGUGCCAGCAGUCGCGGUAAUACGGAGGAUGCGAGCGUUAUCCGGAUUUAUUGGGUUUAAAGGGUGCGCAGGCGGGAGAUCAAGUCAGCGGUAAAAUGUCGGGGCUCAACCCCGGCCGGCCGUUGAAACUGGUUGUCUAGAGUUGGAGAGAAGUAUGCGGAAGUCGUGGUGUAGCGGUGAAAUGCAUAGAUAUCACGAAGAACUCCGAUUGCGAAGGCAGCAUACCGGCUCCAUACUGACGCUGAGGCACGAAAGCGUGGGGAUCGAACAGGAUUAGAUACCCCAGUAGUC